CAGACACUCAAUCCUCAGAACUCCCGAUCGACGGCAACUCGACCGGGGGCUGGGGUGAGAAGACUUCGACAAUGCAGACGAGGAAGAUCACGUCGUGGACGAUUGCCUCAGGGUCCUUUGUUGUCAUGGCACCGUUGACCCUGUGCUGCGGGCCGGCGAGGUCGUUGAACUUGCCGAAGGCAUCACCAAGCUUCUAUCUCUAGAUCUGCACCAAUCCUUGUCAGAAAAUUGAGAAGUCAUGGCAUAGUCAAAUCUGAACAAGCCGUGUGGAGCUUCGCCAUGAGUCUGCGCAUGAAUUUGGGAAUGGACGGAUGUCACUCCGAAGAAGUCAGAGAAUAUUUUCAAUGCGCAGCAGGACAAGAGAAAAGAAGAGAAGCAAAGAGAGACUUCUAUUUAGGAACGGAGGGAGUACAAAAGAAACGCCUCUUGAUCGUCGAAGUCCUCAGCCACGAAGCGAAAUACCAAUGAGGCAUAAGUAGAUGAUGAACACAUAGCAAGCACUGCGCAGGAGUGAGAUCACGUCAAUCAAUAUUGAUUUGUUUGAUUUGAUGAAUAUUCUACCAUUUGAAAUAAAUUUGAAUGUUAUUGUUUAUUAUUAUUAUGGAGUGUUUGGCAGUGUGAGCAUGUAGUAUAAGAGUACCUUAUCCGUUCAGCGGGGUGCUCCAACUUUUGAUGCUGGCGAAGCUUUUGCAAUGAUGGCUGCAUCCUCCAUCAUUUGUUAGUCUCCGUUGGAGGUUUAAUUAAACUGAAGUAAAUAUGCUACAUUCUUUUGUCAAAUAAAAACAUGACUGCCUAUUUUGCUUGUCAGGACCAAGAUCUCUAGCUAUCAAUGAAAUUUUCAGAGUAGUUUUUGUUGCCUCUGUGUAACCCUGAUAGCAGCUUCUUGGAAGGUUCAGAUGUGUGGCAAAGGAUUUCAAUUUUCCUGUUUACACAAAGGAAACUUGAGGAAGGUUCAGAUUUCUCAUGCUUGGUUCUGUCCUCUCAGGGUUACAUAGACAAAAAUGCCUCCUAUUUACACAAAGGCAACUUGAGGAAGAUUUGUUUCCCUACAAUAUGGCGGAUUAAUGUAUAUUCUUCUGAAGUCAUAGUACAUUCAUGGUCUGUAUAUAUGUUUGUAUGCUGCAAACCUGAGUCUGGUUUCAAAGUUUGGCCGCUGCUAACUUGAUUUGGAGACAUUUCCUGUUAGGAGUUAAACUUUGGUUUGGAGGCAUCGAGCUUUGGCUGUAACUAGCUUUGUUACUUGGUAUACCUCUGUCAGCAUAAAGGAGCCGGGUAUUUGUUGAGCGGGUUGUGGGAGAGGCGGUCGGCGAGCGCGGGCUAGACGGGAAGGUGAUGCUUGCGAUGGCGACCAUGCCGGCGGACAGGGAAAGGUCGAUUGUGUCCAUCAUGGUGUUUCCGAGGGAGAGCGAGGCAUCUACCAUCGCGCAUCUGAAGAAGUCGAUGCUCGGGGCGAGGUUGACCACCGUGGCCGGCGUGAAAGCGGAUGGACUUAAAGGCCGGUGACAGGUUUGCCGUCAAUGCACCGUCUCUCAACUUGGUGGAGAGGCGAAAGGAGAGCGGUGGCACCAUGAAGACCUCGACGACUGCUGCUGUGACCAUGACCAGGCCAUUGUGUUUGUAAAAAGAUACUAAUUGUAUACAUAUCCCCCAGCUCCAAAAACAUUAGAUAAAUAUCCAACUUAUUAUUGAAAAAUCUUGAUUCAAGAUAAAUGGAACCUUUCCUAUAUACAAUGAGCUUAUUAUUUGAAGGUUGCAUUGAUUGUGCUAUUAUUGCUGAAAUAAGAGGCUUAUGUGAAUUUGUCAA